rnacentral:rRNA from 1 species
UACGUAGGGUCCGAGCGUUGUCCGGAAUUACUGGGCGUAAAGAGCUCGUAGGUGGUUUGUCGCGUUGUUCGUGAAAACUCACAGCUCAACUGUGGGCGUGCGGGCGAUACGGGGCAGACUAGAGUACUGCAGGGGAGACUGGAAUUCCUGGUGUAGCGGUGGAAUGCGCAGAUAUCAGGAGGAACACCGGUGGCGAAGGCGGGUCUCUGGGCCUUACCUGACACUGAGGAGCGAAAGCGUGGGGAGCGAACAGG